UGCCAGCCGCCGCGGUAAUACGGAGGGUGCAAGCGUCGUUCGGGAAUUACUGGGCGUAAAGCGCGCGUAGGCGGCUAUUUAAGUCAGAUGUGAAAGUCCACGGCUCAACCGUGGAAGUGCAUUUGAAACUGGAUAGCUUGAGUAUUGGAGGGGGUAGUGGAAUUCCCGGUGUAGAGGUGAAAUUCGUAGAUAUCGGGAGGAAUACCGGUGGCGAAGGCGACUAUCUGGCCAAAUACUGACGCUGAGGUACGAAAGCGUGGGUAGCAAACAGGAUUAGAUA
rnacentral:rRNA from 1 species